CCUACGGGAGGCUGCAGUGAGGAAUAUUGGUCAAUGGACGGAAGUCUGAACCAGCCAUGCCGCGUGCAGGAAGACGGCUCUAUGAGUUAUAAACUGCUUUUGUACAAGGGUAAACCUGAAUACGUGUAUUCAGCUGAAAGUACUGUACGAAUAAGGAUCGGCUAACUGCGUGCCAGCAGCCGCGGUAAUACGGAGGAUCCAAGCGUUAUCCGGAUUUAUUGGGUUUAAAGGGUGCGUAGGCGGAUUGAUAAGUUAGAGGUGAAAUGUCCGAGCUUAAAACGGCAACUGCCUGUAAUACUGUUGAGCUAGAGAGUAGAUGAGGUAGGCGGAAUGUGUGGUGUAGCGGUGAAAUGCAUAGAGAUCAUACAGAACACCGAUUGCGAAGGCAGCUUACCAGUCUAUAUCUGACGUUGAGGCACGAAAGCGUGGGGAGCAAACAGGAUUAGAUACCCGAGUAGUC
rnacentral:rRNA from 1 species